AGAGCGCCACCUUGACAGGGUGGAGGUCGUUGGUUCGAGCCCAAUCGGAAUCA
rnacentral:tRNA from 1 species